CCACUCACAGGCCCAUGUGGUACUGGGUGCUUUCACCCUUUGCAGCCUUUCAUCACAGCCACCUUGUGAGGGAAUAAUAGUAGCUGACAACCUAUUUCGCACUCACCACGUGCAGGCAGUGUUGCAAGCACUUGACACAUUUAAUCCUGGCAACAACUGUAAGGUACGUCCCUGUGCUGUUCUUGAUCACAUUUAACAGAUAAGGGAACUGAGGCACAAAGAGGUCAAAUACUGGGCCAAAGGGUCCAAUCAGGAUUCGAAUCCACGUUUGUGGCACUUGAGCGUCCAUGAUCGUUCCACUGGACUGGCCUGCCUCCUUUCCGCCCCGCCCCCCAGGACAAUUCCGAGGCCUGGACAGGGUUUCCAACUGUGUUUCCUGGAGUAUGAAGGUUCCACAGAGAGGCCUCCAAGGGGCUACUCCAGUAGCUGCCAGCAGUGAGAAGGGAGGCAGAUCACAAAGAUGAGAAGGACCUUGCAAAGCUGAGAAGGAGCAACCGGUGUGGUAGGAAGAACCAAGCAAGUGUAGAGGGGUCCCAAAAAAGAAGUGAAGAAAGAGUUUCAAGGAGUGAGUGAUCAAUGCGACAACUGGUGCUGACAGGCCUAGUGCAUUAAGAACAGACAGCUGGCCAUUGGACUUGGUAACUUGGAGGAAACUGGGGACCUUGACAAGAACAAGUUUGGUAAGUUGCAGCCUGGCCCCUGGGGGCCACCCUCACUCAAAAGCACACUUGCAGCAGUUGUGGCUGGGCCUUGCAGCCAACCAGGCCAAGGGCCAGUGCCUCCCCCCAAUGUACUUACAGCAAGCACAGCCCUGCCCAAGAAGGAGACUGGAUGCAGCCCACAAAGGGGAUAACCCUGGAGCCUCUGGCUGUGAUGUCCAGGGAGUAUUGUGCUUCUGAGCCCCCAAACAACAUCUCCUACCUAAGGCCCCUCCUUCAAGAGUGGGAGAUCUAAGGGCACGUGGGUGGCUCAGUCGGUUGAAC
rnacentral:lncRNA from 1 species